UCGGGAAUCUUGGACAAUGGGGGAAACCCUGAUCCAGCCACGCCGCGUGGGUGAUGGAGGCCUUCGGGUUGUAAAGCCCUGUCAGAAGGGAAGAAAGGGUCUUGACCUAAUACGUCCGGGCCUUGACGGUACCUUCAGAGGAAGCACCGGCUAACUACGUGCCAGCAGCCGCGGUAAGACGUAGGGUGCAAGCGUUGCUCGGAAUUACUGGGCGUAAAGGGCGCGUAGGCGGCUUGGUAAGCGGGAUGUGAAAGCCCCCGGCUCAACCGGGGAAGAGCAUUCCGAACUGCCUUGCUUGAGUUCGAGAGAGGGUGGUGGAAUUCCCGGUGGAACGGUGAAAUGCGUAGAUAUCGGGAGGAACAUCUGUGGCGAAGGCGGCCACCUGGCGCGAUACUGACGCUGAAGCGCGAAAGCGUGGGUAGCAAACAGG
rnacentral:rRNA from 1 species